rnacentral:snRNA from 1 species
AUACCUUUCUCGACCUUUUGGCUAAGAUCAAGUGUAGUAUCUGUUCUUAUCAAUUUAAUAUCUGAUAUGUGGACUAUGUGUUCACUUUGAUAUUAAAUUUAUUUUUUGUGGGGGAGAGUCCACCACCGUGGCUUGCCACUGGGCCCCUUGAGCGUCGCUCGGACUGGGCCCCUUGAGCGUCGCUCGGCCGUUGCACUACUGGCUGAGCCUGGCGCACCCCAA